GUGCUCUUGCAGCACAUAUACAAAACUUCUAAUGACACAGAGAAGAUUAGCAUGGCCCCUGCACAAAUAUGACACACAAAUUUGUGAAGCAUCACAUUGUAUU